UACGGAGGGUGCAAGCGUUAUCCGGAUUUACUGGGUUUAAAGGGUGCGUAGGCGGGUCUUUAAGUCAGUGGUGAAAUCCUCCCGCUUAACGGGAGAACUGCCAUUGAUACUAUUGAUCUUGAAUUCAGUUGAGGUGGGCGGAAUGUGUCGUGUAGCGGUGAAAUGCUUAGAUAUGACAUAGAACACCAAUUGCGAAGGCAGCUGGCUACACGAAUAUUGACACUGAUGCACGAAAGCGUGGGGAUCAAACAGG
rnacentral:rRNA from 1 species